UUGAAUUUGGUAUCGGUUACCUUACAUUGCACGAAGUGAGAGAGAAGGCAUUUUGCUAGCAGCAUCUAUUUCAUCUAGGAAUACGGUAUUCACCCUCUGCCUCUAAACCUAGGUCAAAAUUCCUUUAGAAUAAUUCAUCUUUCAUAAAAGAUGCGUUCCCUUUCGCCUAUGGAAAUCUUGUGCGUUCUGGGCACGGCUUCCCGCUGUACAGACAAAUGCACUCAUUGUCUAGACCACGCCGGUCCCCCUGGAUUUUAUGCAGCGUGCAUUUCCUGCACUGAGCUGCUUGCUCGCUGCAGGCGUGCUUCCCUCGUCCCCCUGCCCCCGCCCGGAUCCAAAGCUUUUGUUUCUAACGUUUUCUCUCGACGCUAUUAAAAUGCUUGGGAACAUCGUUACCAAAUAAGUGACUGACUAGGAACUUUUCCGGCUGUUAACCUUUAGGCCAACGUCCAGUAAAGUUCUGAAAAGCAACUAAACCUCGUGUAAAGGGGCCAAGCCACAUGGAAACAACGGAAACGUGUAUAUUAUUGCCUAAACUUGCCGGGGGGACAUUUGGGUUUUUCUUAGAGCAAUGCUUUGCAGUGGCCCCAAGGGCGCUGCAAGAGGCAGCAGCACUCGCUCCCGCAGCGGCGAGGAGGUGGGGUGCGGGUGAGGGGCAGGGGACCCCCCGGGAGCCGAGAUGACCGGGGCCUCCUGGCGGCGACGCUCUGGCCCGCGCGCGCUCGAUGGUUCCGCGCGGCAGCCCGGGCCUGCGCGGUCCCGUCGCCAGGGGGCGCGCUGGCGGGCGCCGCGGAUCUCCGAGCUGCGCGGCCCGACUCGUGUCCGCCAUAUUGGAUGCCGCAGCCGCUGCUGCCAGCGCUUCCUCCUCCGUCUUCGCCGUGCGCUGCUCGUUCCUACGGCCCGAGCGGCGGGGAGGUGAAACAGGAGCCUGUCGGAGGAAGAGGAAGAAGGGGGUGGAGAGUGUAGGGGACCGGGCUAGGGGGUGGAAGCCCGAGACCGAGCGGGGCGGAGAAGAGAAGGCGCCCAGCCCCUCCCCCGCCCGCUGCCAGCCAGCCCCGGCAGCGCCUCUGUUCCCCGGACCGGCGCUCCGCCCGCCCUAUCGGCCAUGCCGGGGCCUCGCUGCCCCUAAGGGAACCCUGCCCCGCCGGUGCUUGCCCUUCCCCUCCUGCCCGGGGUCGCAGCGGCCCGGCCUCCCGCCGGCGCCCCCUCCUCGCAGCCGCGUCGCCGCCCCCGUCUAGUUCUCCCCACCCAGUGCAGUGGCCGCCGCCUCUUCCGCCGCCGGGCUCUGGGCCUCCGCACCGACAACAUGGAGGCUGUGAAAACCUUCAAUAGCGAGUUGUAUUCCCUGAAUGACUACAAGCCACCCAUUUCUAAAGCGAAAAUGACCCAAAUUACUAAAGCAGCCAUCAAAGCUAUUAAGUUCUAUAAACAUGUGGUACAGAGUGUUGAGAAAUUCAUUCAGAAAUGUAAACCAGAAUACAAGGUACCUGGACUUUAUGUUAUUGACUCUAUUGUACGACAAUCUCGACAUCAGUUUGGUCAAGAAAAGGAUGUGUUUGCACCCAGAUUUAGUAAUAACAUCAUUAGCACUUUCCAGAAUUUAUAUCGUUGCCCUGGAGACGACAAGAGUAAAAUAGUGAGAGUAUUAAACUUAUGGCAGAAGAAUAAUGUAUUUAAAAGUGAGAUUAUUCAACCUCUUUUGGAUAUGGCAGCGGGGAUUCCUCCUCCAGUUGUCACACCUGUUUUGGCCAGUACUACUGCUGCUAUGAGCAAUACCCCAGGAACUCCUGUGACACCUGUUACUCCAGCCAAUGUGGUCCAAGGUUUACCUGAUCCGUGGGUGUCUCAGAUAACAAAUACAGAUACACUUGCAGCUGUAGCUCAGAUCUUACAAAGUCCUCAAGGCCAACAGCUUCAGCAGUUAAUACAGACUUUACAGAUACAGCAGCAGAAGCCUCAGCCUUCCAUCUUGCAAGCCCUGGACGCCGGCCUUGUGGUCCAGCUGCAGGCUCUUACGGCGCAGCUCACGGCAGCGGCCGCAGCGGCCAGCACCCUUAAUCCCCUAGAACAGGGCGUGUCUUUGAACAAGAAGUUGAUGGAUAGGUUUGAUUUUGGGGAAGAUUCUGAGCAUAGUGAAGAACCCAAAAAGGAAAUUCCAGCUUCUCAACUUUCUCAUGUUUCAGAAUCUGUGAACAAUUCCAUCUUUCAUCAGAUAGCAGAACAGCUACAGCAGCAAAAUCUUGAACAUCUCAGACAGCAACUCCUGGAACAGCAACAGCCUCAAAAGGCAACUCCUCAGGAUAGUCAAGAAGGAACAUUUGGGUCAGAGCAUUCCGUGUCACCAUCACAAGGGAGCAGUCAACAGCAUUUCCUUGAACCUGAAGCAAAUUUGGAUGAUUCCAUAGAUAUUCAGCAGCAGGAUAUGGAUAUAGAUGAAGGGCAAGAUGGAGUGGAAGAGGAGAUCUUUGAACAGGAAGCAAAGAAAGUGGCUGUUCGCUCAAGAUCAAGAACGCAUUCACGAUCUCGUUCAAGAUCACCAAGAAAACGAAGGUCUAGGUCACGAUCUGGUUCUCGAAAGCGUAAACACAGAAAGCGAUCACGCUCUCGCUCUAGAGAAAGAAAAAGGAAAUCAUCACGUUCAUACUCAAGUGAAAGAAGAGCUAGAGAAAGGGAGAAAGAACGACAGAAGAAAGGAUUGCCUCCAAUUAGAUCUAAAACAUUAAGUGUAUGUAGUACUACUCUGUGGGUUGGUCAGGUAGACAAGAAGGCGACCCAGCAAGAUUUAACCAACCUGUUUGAAGAGUUUGGACAGAUUGAAUCCAUUAAUAUGAUUCCUCCCAGGGGCUGUGCUUAUGUCUGCAUGGUUCAUCGACAAGAUGCAUUUCGGGCUCUUCAGAAACUUAGUUCCGGGUCAUAUAAAAUUGGGUCCAAGGUCAUUAAGAUUGCUUGGGCUUUAAACAAAGGCGUGAAAACAGAAUACAAACAAUUCUGGGAUGUGGAUCUUGGAGUAACAUACAUACCAUGGGAAAAAGUUAAAGUGGAUGACUUGGAAGGUUUUGCAGAAGGAGGCAUGAUUGAUCAGGAAACUGUAAAUACUGAGUGGGAAAGUGUGAAAAGCUCAGAACCCGUUAAAGAGACGGUCCAGACAACUCAGAGCCCACCUCCAGUUGAAAAGGAGACAGUGGCCACAACCCAGGCAGAGGUCUUCCCGCCGCCUGUUGCUAUGUUACAGAUUCCAGUAGCUCCAGCAGUGCCUACAGUUAGUUUAGUCCCACCAGCCUUUCCUGUGUCAAUGCAAGUUCCUCCUCCUGGAUUCAGUCCAAUUCCUCCACCGCCUUUUCUCCGCGCGAGUUUUAACCCUUCACAACCACCUCCUGGUUUCAUGCCACCUCCAGUUCCACCACCUGUUGUACCACCACCUACUAUUCCACCAGUAGUACCAACAUCUUUAGUGCAGCCGCCAUUAUCUAUGACUCCAGAAACUGUGAAAGAUGUUGGAUUUGGUAGCCUUGUUUUGCCAGGUGGUUCUGUUGCCAGCAGUCUUGCUACUUCCACUCUGCCAGCUGGAAGUGUUUUUAAUCCUCCAACUAAACAAGCAGAGCCUGAAGAAAAAGUACCUCAUCUUAUAGACCACCAGAUUUCUUCUGGUGAAAACACCAGAUCAGUGAUUCCAAAUGAUGUUUCAGGUGGCUCUGCGAUUUUAGGAGGACAGCCGCCAAAUGUGACGAACAAUUCUGGAAUUCUGGGAGUCCAAAGACCAAAUGUAUCAAGUAAUAAUGAAAUUCUUGGAGUCCGGCCAUCUAAUGUUUCCAAUAGUUCUGGGAUUAUUGGAGCCCAGCCACCAAAUAUUCUAAAUAACUCUGGCAUUUUGGGAAUACAGCCACCAAGUGUGUCGAGUAGUUCUGGACUUCUGGGCAUGCUUCCCCCGAAUAUACCUAACAAUUCCGGACUUAUAGGAGUACAGCCACCCGGUGUUCCAAAUACUCCUGGACUUUUGGGAACACAGCCACCAGCUGGGCCUCAAAAUUUACCCCCUUUAAAUCUUUCUAAUCAAAGGAUGCCUGCAAUGCCAAUGUUAGACAUUCGUCCAGGACUAAUACCACAGACACCUGGACCAAGAUUCCCUUUAAUGCAGCCUGGAAUUCCACCUCAGCGGGGACUCCCUCCCCCAGCGGUACUUGAUGCAGCUCUUCAUCCACCACCCCGUGGUCCUUUUGCUCCAGGAGAUAUUUUUAGUCCACCUGAAAGACCUUUUCUAGUUCCUGGAAGACAAAGUGUAGACAAUGUUGCUAAUCCAGAGAAAAGGGUACCACUUGGGAGUGAUAGCGUUCAACAGGAAGGAGAUAGAGAUUACCGGUUUCCUCCCGUAGAAACCAGGGAAACCAUUAGUAGACCUCCCCCGGUGGAUGUUAGGGAUGUGGUUGGACGGCCUGUAGACCCAAGAGAAGGUCCUGGAAGGCCUCCAUUAGAUGGUAGAGAUCAUUUUGGAAGACCUCCUGUAGAUAUUAGAGAGAAUCUGGUGAGGCCAGGCAUAGAUCAUCUUGGUCGAAGAGACCACUUUGGCUUUACUCCAGAGAAGCCCUGGGGGCAUAGAGAUUUUGACGAGAGAGAGCAUCGGGUUCUGCCUGUCUAUGGUGGUCCAAAAGGCUUACAUGAAGAAAGAGGUAGAUUUCGGUCUGGAAACUACCGGUUCGAUCCUAGAAGUGGUCCUUGGAACAGAGGAUUUGGACAAGAAGUUCACAGAGAUUUUGAUGACCGCAGAAGACCCUGGGAGAGGCAAAGGGAUAGGGAUGACAGAGAUUUUGAUUUCUGCAGAGAAAUUAACGGAAAUCGUUUUGGACGAGAGAGAAUUCAAAACACCUGGGUCCCCCCUCCUCAUGCUCGGGUUUUUGAUUUUUUUGAAGGGGCCACUUCUCAGCGAAAAGGUGAUAAUGUGCCUCAGGUUAAUGGUGAAAACACCGAGAGACAUGCUCAUCCACCACCUUUACCAGCGCAGAGUGAUCCUGAACUUUAUGAAAAACUGACAUCUUCAAGUGAAAUAAACAAGGAGAAGAGUGACACAGUUGCUGAUAUAGAGAGUGAACCAGUGGUAGAAAGCACAGAAACUGAGGGGACAUAAUCAUCACUCAGUAGGACAGAAUGACUCGGAAGAUAAUGGAGCUUCGAAGUCUAGCAGAAUAUGAAGUCCUUCCUCUUCGUGGACCUCGUUUAAAUUUAAGGGGAAGAAGCCGAGCAGCCUGAGACAGUGAGGCAGUUAUCAGUCGCCAGCUCCUGGAUGACAGAGGAGAGGAGAAAGGAGAUUUUCAGAGCCCAGUUAUGUUAGACAUAUUAACAGAGGAAUCUAACAUGACAGAAGAAAAAAAAGGAGGAGAUUCUUGCCCCCGAGGGCAAAGCGUUCAGUUGCCACAGCACUGAACGGGGCUUUGCAAAAGGAGCUGGUAGACAGAUGCGCUAACAGCAGGUCUCCGCCACUGCCCGUCAAUCGCCCCUCUGUUCAGCUUGCCCCUGGGAUGAUGCUGGAGAGACACAAAAGUACCUCUAGCACUUCCUCAGGAUGGCUUGUUUCUCAUGACCUCAUCACAGUGAAAAGAAGAUGGAUUUCUCAACCACUUCCUCCUGCAGUAGGAGUUUGAAAAGUGCCGUGAAGUAGAUCGUGCAAGCUCCUGAAACAGCCGCUGAAAGAACCGUUUGUAUUCCGCCAAUGAUCUUCAGAAAGGAGAGGUGCAGCCUGCCUUGAAAAGGCUAUCCUCUGACUUCUCCACAGUUAGCCUGACCCACUGGCAGAGAUGCCUGCCUACGCUGGGCUGGAGUCAGCGUGGUCUUUGUCUGUUUAUUGGAUCCUGGGGCACUGGGCGCGAGGCUGCAUUGAGCCUGUUAGUUUGGGGCAUGAAGUAACAGAAGAGCACUUGGUGGAAGCAGCCGUCGCUGGGACCCUCCUUCUCGCCCAAACAAGCUGUAAAAGUGAAUUUGAGCUCCGUGGAGAUAGGUAUUAAACGCAGUCAUUCUUGACUGGUACUCCAGUGUGUGUGUGUGUGUGUGUGUGUGUGUGUGUGUGUGUGUGUGUGUGUGUGUGUGUGUGUAAUGUCAUUUCUGGCGGGGCCCGGGCUGAGGCAGAGAGUUUACUUGGCAAGAAGAUUCUCUUUCCUCAGGUUGUGGGAAAGAGAAAAGAGAACAAAACCCCCCACAACUUCCAAAACAAACGGGAAACUUCCAAAAACUAGAAAGGUGUUUUAAGAAAACUCUUUCUGGCAUAGUACAGAGGAAGGAUGUCUUGUUUUUUGAAGUGUCCUACUACCAGAAAGUCCAACAAAAUACUGCCCAGUACUGGAAAGAUUGUGCAAAUGAAUUUCAAUUCUGCUAACAUUGCUAGAUACCCUCUAGGUGCCAGAAAAUGUACGAAGUUACUGGGGAUAAAAAGAUGAAUUGGGCUGAUCCCUGACUUCAAGGAAUUUAGAUUUGGGUAAUUUAAGUAUGAAGAGUCUGCAAGAGAAUAUGACAGAAUGGUUAUUUCUAGGGAGGGGGGUUACAGCUAAUAUUUAACUUUUUGGUAAAUACUAGGAUACUGUAGCUAAAGAGUUUUGGUGGCUAUGAAGUGAGUGGACGGUGAUGACACUGGGGCCGCCUCUUUUAAAAACAGGCUGUUCUGGUCUCUGCCAGGGGUGGAGAUUUAUCUUUGAGAGUAGGUUUGCUUUAAUUGGGCCCUUGGUUAUUCUACAGGGAAGCGACCCUGCUUUAUAAUGAAGAUGACCCAGCAUAACUUCCUGAUGGUCCCCCAGCCCCCUGGCUCCUCCCCCUCAGCUUUCUUUGCUGAUCCGACCCCAUCUCGCAAGAGUUCUGUCUCUUUCCCAGUCUUUCCCGCAGGCAUCUCAGCCAGGCCCUGGGUGAGACAGGAUUACUCCGGGCUGGUUAUUUCUCUGUC